rnacentral:tRNA from 1 species
CUCACCAUAGUUUAUCCUAAAACACUGACUUGCAAAAUCGAAAAAGGAAUUAGAUUCCUGGUGUGU